rnacentral:rRNA from 1 species
GAUGAACGCUGGCGGCGUGCCUAAUACAUGCAAGUCGAGCGAAGCGGGGACGGGUGAGUAACCCGUGGAUAACCUCCUAUACGACUGGGAUACCUUCGGGAAACCGAACCUAUACCGACUACUUCUCGAUUGAUCUGCGCUGCAUUAGCUAGUUGGUAAGGUAACGGCUUACAAAGCCAACGAUGCCUAGCCGACCUGAGAGGGUGACCGGCCACACUGGAACUGAGACACGGUCCAGACUCCUACGGGAGGCAGCAGUAGGGAAUCUUCCGCAAUGGGCGAAAGCCUGACGGAGCAACGCCGCGUGAGUGAUGAAGGUCUUCGGAUCGUAAAACUCUGUUAUUAGGGAAGCGGUACCUAAUCAGAAAGCCACGGCUAACUACGUGCCAGCAGCCGCGGUAAUAC